CGGACGGGUGAGUAAUGUAUGGGGAUCUACCUGAUGGCGGGGGAUAACUACUGGAAACGGUAGCUAAUACCGCAUAAUGUCUGCGGACCAAAGCGGGGGACCUCCGGGCCUCGCGCCAUCAGAUGAACCCAUAUGGGAUUAGCUAGUAGGUAAGGUAACGGCUUACCUAGGCGACGAUCCCUAGCUGGUCUGAGAGGAUGAUCAGCCACACUGGGACUGAGACACGGCCCAG
rnacentral:rRNA from 1 species